rnacentral:tRNA from 1 species
AAGAACUUAGUUUAAAUUUAGAAUUUUUGAUUUUUAAUCAGAAGGUUUGAAGUUUUUG